rnacentral:RNase_P_RNA from 2 species
CAAGAGGGCCGGAUGAUCGCCCCGCGACUAUCUCUGCCAAAGGAAGCAAUGUUCGACGAUGCGGUCCGGUUGCCCACCGGCUCCAAAUUGCCGGACAAGGCACCCUUUGGAAGAGAUAGUCGCGGGGAGGAAAGUCCGAACUCCGAAGGGCAGGGUGGUUCCUAACGGGAACCCGGGGUGACCCGAGGGAAAGUGCAACAGAAAACAUACCGCCCCGCGCCUAUCUCUUCCAAAGAGCCUUGCGUGAUGAUGAGGAGCCGGUGGUGAACGGCUCGCUCUUAUGAACGGCGCGUUCUUUGGCGGAGGUAGGCGCGGGGUAAGGGUGAAAAGGUGAGGUAAGAGCUCACCGGCGGCCCGGCGACGGGCCGGCCUGGCAAACCCCACCCGGAGCAAGACCAAAUAGGCUCUGCCUUUCCUCGAAAGAGGACAAGGGUUGCCCAUCCGACGUUUCUCCGGUUCGCCGGGGAAAGGGCAGAGCGGGUCGGUCGCACGACUCCGCAGGCGACGGCGGGGCAAGAGGAAUGAUCAUCUCCGGCCGGAGACGGCCGGAACAGAAUUCGGCUUACAGGACCUCUUGGCGG